rnacentral:rRNA from 1 species
GGCUCAGGAUGAACGCUAGCGACAGGCCUAACACAUGCAAGUCGAGGGGCAGCACAAGGAGUAAUCUGAGGUGGCGACCGGCGCACGGGUGAGUAACACGUAUGCAACCUGCCUUUAAGCGGGGGAUAACCCGGAGAAAUCCGGACUAAUACCGCAUAAUACCUAUUUACUGCAUGGUAAAUAGUUUAAACAUUUAUGGCUUACAGAUGGGCAUGCGUAUGAUUAGCUGGUUGGUGAGGUAACGGCUCACCAAGGCAACGAUCAUUAGGGGUUCUGAGAGGAAGGUCCCCCACACUGGUACUGAGACACGGACCAGACUCCUACGGGAGGCAGCAGUGAGGAAUAUUGGUCAAUGGGCGAGAGCCUGAACCAGCCAAGUCGCGUGAAGGAAGAAGGUUUCCUAUGGAUUGUAAACUUCUUUUGCAUGGGAAUAAAGUGAGCUACGUGUAGUUUAUUGUAUGUACUGUGCGAAUAAGGAUCGGCUAACUCCGUGCCAGCAGCUGC